UACGAAGGGGGCUAGCGUUGCUCGGAAUCACUGGGCGUAAAGGGUGCGUAGGCGGGUCUUUUAAGUCAGGGGUGAAAUCCUGGAGCUCAACUCCAGAACUGCCUUGAUACUGAAGAUCUUGAGUCCGGGAGAGGUGGAGUGGAACUGCGAGUGUAGAGGUGAAAAUUCGUAGAUAUCCGCAAGAACACCAGUGGCGAAGGCGGACUCGACUGGCC
rnacentral:rRNA from 1 species